CAGUCGCCGCGGGAAUACGAAGGGGGCUAGCGUUGCUCGGAAUGACUGGGCGUAAAGGGCGCGUAGGCGGCUUGCACAGUCAGAUGUGAAAUUCCUGGGCUCAACCUGGGGACUGCAUUUGAUACGUGUGGGCUUGAGUGGAGAAGAGGGUUGUGGAAUUUCCAGUGUAGAGGUGAAAUUCGUAGAUAUUGGAAAGAACACCGGUGGCGAAGGCGGCAACCUGGUCUUUAACUGACGCUGAGGCGCGAAAGCGUGGGGAGCAAACAGGAUUAGAUACCCCAGUAGUCCCUGUCUCUUAUAC
rnacentral:rRNA from 1 species